GACGAACGCUGGCGGCGUGCCUAAUACAUGCAAGUAGAACGCACAGUUUAUACCGUAGCUUGCUACACCAUAAACUGUGAGUUGCGAACGGGUGAGUAACGCGUAGGUAACCUGCCUGGUAGCGGGGGAUAACUAUUGGAAACGAUAGCUAAUACCGCAUAAUAUUAAUUAUUGCAUGAUAAUUGAUGGAAAGAUGCAAUUGCAUAACUACCAGAUGGACCUGCGUUGUAUUAGCUAGUAGGUGAGGUAACGGCUCACCUAGGCGACGAUACAUAGCCGACCUGAGAGGGUGAUCGGCCACACUGGGACUGAGACACGGCCCAGACUCCUACGGGAGGCAGCAGUAGGGAAUCUUCGGCAAUGGACGAAAGUCUGACCGAGCAACGCCGCGUGAGUGAAGAAGGUUUUCGGAUCGUAAAGCUCUGUUGUAAGAGAAGAACGGGUGUGAGAGUGGAAAGUUCACACUGUGACGGUAUCUUACCAGAAAGGGACGGCUAACUACGUG
rnacentral:rRNA from 1 species